rnacentral:lncRNA from 1 species
UACUAGAUAAAUAUUAGGAGAUGCAGAAGAGGGUCAGAAAAUGUGCCAAUAAAAGUAAUGCUUGCUUGAAAGCAUAAACUUUGAUCUUAUUAUACUAGCCCAUCAACCCGUGCUCCCGCAUGGGCUAAUAUUUUUAGAAACUAUUGUAUAUAAAAAUUAUUUAAAAAUUAAACUCUUAGCUAAUAAUCAAAAUUGUUUACCUACUACUUUCUUAUUUUUUUCAAUACUUCAACAUAAUAAUUAUAUAUAUAUAUACCUAUCUUUGUCCCGUUGUGAUUGCUUUUUAAUCAAUAAUUGCUCUAAGUACUUUUUCAUCCAUAUUUAUACUUUUUCAUUUUAUAUCACACCUCCAAUCCUUCAUACAUUAUGUUUAGCAUACAAAUCAAUAUUUUUCAUCGAUUCCUCACAUACAUGUAUAAAUGGUCUAAAUGGUGGCACUCA